rnacentral:lncRNA from 1 species
GGAAUAUGAUGCCCCUAAGAUUACACACUGUACAUGUAAGAACAAGUAGGAAACUCGAAGGAGAGAAUGAGUAGAUAUAAGGUUUAGUAGUUAAUCCUCGAGUAAUAAGCAUGCUUAACUGUUUGGAAGAGAUAUUUAUAAAGGAAAAUCUAAACAAAUUCCAUGAUAAAUGCGUAUACCAUAAUCGUGGUCACCAAAGCAAGCUCAAAAGAGAGAAUUUCU